rnacentral:rRNA from 1 species
UACAGAGGGUGCAAGCGUUAAUCGGAAUUACUGGGCGUAAAGCGUGCGUAGACGGUUACAUAAGUCGGGUGUGAAAGCCCCGGGCUCAACCUGGGAAUUGCAUUCGAGACUGCGUAGCUAGGGUGCGGAAGAGGGAAGCGGAAUUUCCGGUGUAGCGGUGAAAUGCGUAGAUAUCGUAAGGAAGACCAGUGGCGAAGGCGGGUCGUCUGGACAGUUCCUGACGCUGAGGCACGAAGGCCAGGGGAGCAACGGG